ACGUGUCCGCCGUUUGAGAGUACCCGGAGAAAAAGCAUCGGCUAACUCCGUGCCAGCAGCCGCGGUAAUACGGAGGAUGCGAGCGUUAUCCGGAUUCACUGGGUGUAAAGGGGGCGUAGACGGCCAUGCAAGCCAGGGGUGAAAGCCCGGGGCCCAACCCCGGGACUGCCCUUGGAACUGCAUGGCUGGAGUGCGGGAGGGGCAGGCGGAAUUCCUGGUGUAGCGGUGAAAUGCGUAGAUAUCAGGAGGAACACCGGCGGCGAAGGCGGCCUGCUGGACCGCGACUGACGUUGAGGCUCGAAAGCGUGGGGAGCGAACAGG
rnacentral:rRNA from 1 species